GGACGUUUUCUCGAAACGACGGUACGGUGAUGAAAAGUGGAGUUUCCAGUUUUCAGACUGAUGCUACGAUAAUGAUCCGCCAUGGCGUCGUCAUACUAGUUGCUCUUUUGUGGUUUUCCACAGCCGAAGCUUCUCAGUGCUCAAUUAAUGGACUGCCACUCGUGAAGAAUAUCAGCGAGUUUCCACUACACAACUACGGGAGGUCAGGUUUAUCUCACACUACAAUUGCUGGUUCAGUCUUGCACGGCAUGAAAGAGAUAGAGGUGUGGCUACAAACAUUUGCCCCCGGAUGUCGCACACCAAUCCACAGGCACUCAUGUGAAGAAGUUUUUAUCGUCUUGAAGGGUCAAGGCACUCUCUAUCUUGCUCCUAGUUCACAUUCAAAGUACCCAGGAAACCCACAGGAGUUUCAUAUAUUCCCUAAUAGCACUUUUCAUAUCCCCGUUAAUGAUGUACACCAGAUAUGGAACACUGGUGAACAUGAAGAUUUACAAGCUUUAGUUGUUAUAUCUCGUCCUCCAGUGAAAGUGUUUAUGUACGAUGACUGGUCGAUGCCACACACAGCUGCCAAAUUGAAGUUCCCGUAUUACUGGGAUGAGAAAUGUUAUCAGACAACAACGAGGAAAGACGAGCUUUAGCCAGAAAAGUAGGCUAUGCAGUUACUUACAUUUAGCUAGUGUUUGAUAUGUUUCUGUAUUAUGCUGGGGUCUAGCUUAUUUGAAGGAGUCAAUGAUUGACUAAAACAGGUCUUGCAGUCAUACAUAGUACAAAUGUGUUACCCAGUCACCACAUUAGGAGAACUUUAGUUGUACUCCCUAGCUACUAAUACAUGAUUUCUUUAAUUGAGAAACAUUAGUAAAUGCGGUUUCUGUGUUGCUGUUAUUGCAUUUUUCGACUCCUUAUUCUUGUUGCGAGUGUGA
rnacentral:misc_RNA from 1 species